rnacentral:rRNA from 1 species
CCCAGAGCCUGAAUCAGCUUGUGUGUUAGUGGAAGCGUCUGGAAAGUCGCAGGGUACAGGGUGAUACUCCCGUACACAAAAACACACAUGCUGUGAGCUCGAUGAGUAAGGCGGGAUACGUGGUAUCCUGUCUGAAUAUGGGGGGACCAUCCUCCAAGGCUAAAUACUCCUGACUGACCGAUAGUGAACCAGUACCGUGAGGGAAAGGCGAAAAGAACCCCGGCGAGGGGAGUGAAACAGAACCUGAAACCGUGUACGUACAAGCAGUGGGAGCCCUCUUUAUGGGGGUGACUGCGUACCUUUUGUAUAAUGGGUCAGCGACUUAUAUUCUGUAGCAAGGUUAACCGUAUAGGGGAGCCGCAGGGAAACCGAGUCUUAACUGGGCGUUAAGU